UAAGUCACCAGGGACAGCAGACAGGAUGGUCAUCUUACUUCUGCUCCUUUCCAGGGAACAGGCAAGCGAACUGCUGCAGGGAGAAACAGAGAAGGGGGCAGGAAAACAAGUAAGUCGCAGCACGGGGGGAGCAGGGAGGAGAGAGAAUGGCAACAGACAUGGGAGCUCAGCUGCCAGCAAAGAUCUGAGGCGCUACAUUGCUCCAAGGAGGGGAGGCAAGCCUUCCCGAAUCCAGGCGCCCCAACAUGAUUGUGAAAGCCGCACCCAUGGGCCCACAGACAGCCAACACUGCUGUAGAACCAGUGAGACACCUUGGGAAGCUGCUCAGGUUUCUGGAGACAUCUCUGUAAAAGGUGUGCCCUCUGUCCCUGGUGGAUGCUUGGAACCCCAGUGGGAGGCGAUCCCAGAGCUGCCACCAGAGCUGAAAAUCCUAUUUUUUUUUUUUUUUAAGGCAAAGUUAAUUUCAGAAAUUUUGUUCUCAAUUUUGUUCUAGGGCUCCAAGCCAAUUCCUUCCUUCCCAGUGGCGGCUGGCCGGCAGGGCAGACUGAGCAGGCGCAAAGAGCUUUGAUGUCAACAGAGGUAGGCAGGGCAGGCCCCAGUGGAAAACUGUGAAGUCAGCAGAGUUAUCUCCGGCACUCCGCCCUUCCCCCUUGCUUCCCCUUUCUCCACCCAUUUCCCCCUCUCAGCUUCCAGCUUCUCAUUUCCCAGGGGACCCUGGAACAUAUGAAAACCCACCCCUCCAAAGAUAGGAGGGGGCCUGCUCAUGGCUCCAGCUAUCAAAGUCUGCCUUUCUCCCCCCGCGUCUAAAACAAACAAAGGCGUGCAUUCCAUACAUUUCCUAAGGAAGGAGAGUGAAUACAGAAACCUUGUCCUUUGUGCUCUCCUGGUGAAACCCCAAGAGCCUGGGGCCUCAAGUUUGAAGCUGUCUUCCUGCCUCCUGGGACUUUAAAAGGAAUCAGAAGUGCCUCAAACCAAUGCAUCUGCUUGGUUUAUGGCUCAAAUGUAAACCACAAAUUAUAAAAUGAUAAAUCGCUGUUCGAAUCUCUUCCAGGAAAGACUAUGUUGUCAAGAUUAAGUUACAGCCUCAUGGCCGUAUGAGUGAGUCUCGCUGCUGACUAACUCUCUCACUCAUUUUCCUGCUGGAAAUGUUUUUUUCUUCUUGAACUUUCACUGUUUCUGAACACUUUAAACAAAGAAAAUGACUGAAGGCAGGAAAAACAUCGGGGACUUCUCAACCCAUGGAGCCUUUUACAGGCUUUAUUAUGUAACGGCUGCUUUCAUUUUGUGAGCACCAAAGGAAGUUGAAGAAAUCUCUUUCUUCUUGAGCGCUUAACUGCCAGGGAACGGUGAGACAUGGUUUCACGUGGGCAGUGACCCUCACUUCAGACGCUCGUCGGAAUGUGGAGUGUGUGGUAAAUCAAAGCCGCCUUAAGGAAUCUGGGUCUUAAAGUAUCUGUUCCGUGAUUUGAGCAGGAUUGCAACAUGAGUUACUGUAUUUCGCCCACAUGAAAAUCAAUUCUUUAGACUUCUCUCACAGGGCCUGGUCUAGCGACAGAGGAGUGUGACAAGUAAUGAGGCCCCAUGCAGGCUUUCCCAUAAGGAUGCUCCUCUCUGCCAGAGCUUUGGCAGGCCAAAGGAGGAGCCAUGAGGUCCCUUGAUUGAGAGACCCUAACAUGCCUGGCUGUGGGUCUGUCACCCUGACCUCAUUUUGAGGACCUGAGGCUGCAGGAAGCAACCCAGCUGUCCAUCGUCUUUCUCCAGCACAGUGCCUUUGGUGAUACAACCCUGACCUGGUUUCUCCAAGGCCACUCAAGGCCUGAGGACUAUCAGACCGUGAGUCAGAAUCAGGGCAACCUUUCCUCCUAAGCUCCUUCUGAUUUAUUUUAUACCUCAGCCCCUUCAGUCUCUUUCUUGGGGUCCCCACGUCCUCACAGCGGUUUUCACUUUCUGACACUUUUCCACAGUAUCGCCCACACCAGCGCCUCCAGGCCCCACCCCAGCUCCUCUUGUCUGCUUUUCCUGAAGUCGGCCUGCUGUCUUUACUCCUGCUUUUUCUGGGACACUUCAAGUUGUGGAGAGAGGUUUUAUUUGUUUGAAGAUCCGGAGAUCAAAACUGUUCAAUAAUUCGCCCAAAGUCACAAAACUGCAGGUUGUUUUUUAUUUUGCACCACUAACAAAUAAAAUUGUGAGGAGACUUCUUGGUAGAUACCUCGAUACCUGUGAUGAUUUGCUUUGGGCUCCUUCCUAGAAGUGAAGAUGCUGAGUUAAAGCUGAAAAGAGUGGAGUUCAAGAUAGAAGCUUGGAUCCUUGAAUGACUUCAUGGAGCAGAGUCCCCUGAUGAUCUGCAUUGGUUACUGAUAGAAGUGACAACAUUUUAUUAUAUUAAGCUAAUUAAAAUUUGGGGACUGUUUGUGAUAGCAUCUAGCUUAUCUUGACUAACACUGAAAAAGAAACCUUUAAGUCGAAUGCUGCUCUAAGGAAAAAAGAACUAAAACAUGUAAUCUUGAAUUCAUAGUAGGUUAGAGAUGGUGUGAAAACAAAUAUUGGAGGUUGAAUUACUCCAGAGACUUGCCAUGGCAUGGCAAAAGAUUUGCUACAACUGUUGCUUAUGCAACCUGGAAGGUAGUGCACUAAGUGCCUAGUAAGCCUAUCACUCUAGAGGAAGUUUUUGAAAAGAGAGUAAUAAUAUGUGUUGGCUACUAUUUGCUAACCUUAGUAAAGCAUUGCAGGAAAGAGAAAAACUCAAGCAAGAAUUGACUGCUUUGGAAACAGAAAUAAAAGAGAAUUAGAGAAGCCUAGAAAUUUUGAAGCUAAAAGAUUAGAAAGCUGACUACUUCUAGAUAGGAAACAAAAUAUUAAAUACCUUUGAGCAAUGAAGAUCCAUUUAGAUCCAGACUACAAUGAUCUGACUAAGAGUGUGGUCUUCUCAUCCAAAUCUAAUGGCUUGAAUUAGUCCCCUAUUAAAUUCAGGGAGAGAAAGGAAAUGGAGAAGGAAAGCAAAGACAAAAAUCAUGCAUAAGAAUUAUGUGUAGGAAAGAAGUAUGGGUGUGGUUAUUGGCACAUAUUGCUGACUCGAAGCAAGUGGAUCAGAAACCUACCAAGUUUUUGAGGGAAUCAUGUUCUCAAAGAAAUUCUUUGAUUACUUGAGUUGGAAAUAAUCUUUGAUCUCAUAUUUGUACCAGUAAGGAGUGAGCUGAACAGGCUAUAAGGAAGGUAUAUUUCUCAACAAGCUCUCAUAGACUAGCAAAGCCAGGGGCCAUGGAGUACAACGGACGAGGAAAUUCCUUGGAAGGAAGAUUAAGAUUUAAGCAAAGAACUUUCCUUGCCUUUCAUAAUGCUUAUCCCAGCAUUCUGGUUAUAGAAACAUUGUGCUUAUCCCAGGAUUCCAGAAUUGCUGUGGAAGAAUAAUUGCUAUAUUACUCCUGCUAGUUGUCCUUUUUCUGCACCAGCAUUUAUUUCAUUUUUCCUGUCUUU